CUCUGUGACUCCUACGGGAGGCAGCAGUGGGGAAUAUUGCACAAUGGGCGCAAGCCUGAUGCAGCCAUGCCGCGUGUAUGAAGAAGGCCUUCGGGUUGUAAAGUACUUUCAGCAGUGAGGAAGGCGGGUACGUUAAUAGCGUGCUCGUUUGACGUUAGCUGCAGAAGAAGCACCGGCUAACUCCGUGCCAGCAGCCGCGGUAAUACGGAGGGUGCGAGCGUUAAUCGGAAUUACUGGGCGUAAAGCGCAUGCAGGUGGUUUGUUAAGUCAGAUGUGAAAGCCCCGGGGCUCAACCUCGGAAUUGCAUUUGAAACUGGCAGACUAGAGUACUGUAGAGGGGGUAGAAUUUCAGGUGUAGCGGUGAAAUGCGUAGAGAUCUGAAGGAAUACCGGUGGCGAAGGCGGCCCCCUGGACAGAUACUGACACUCAGAUGCGAAAGCGUGGGAGCAAACAGGAUUAGAUACCCUGGUAG
rnacentral:rRNA from 1 species